GAUGAACGCUAGCGGCAGGCCUAAUACAUGCAAGCUGAACGGUAACUCUGUUAGCAAUAAUGGAGCUAGAGUAGCGUAAGGGUGCGUAACACGUAUGCAAUCUACCCACAACAGGAGGAUAGCUCUUCGAAAGAGGAAUUAAGACUCCAUAAGAUCACAAGAAGGCAUCUGAAGGUGAUUAAACUACCAGGGGUUGUGGAUGAGCAUGCGUCUGAUUAGUUAGUUGGCGGGGUAACGGCCCACCAAGACGAUGAUCAGUAGGGGAACUGAGAGGUUGGUCCCCCACACUGGCACUGAGAUACGGGCCAGACUCCUACGGGAGGCAGCAGUAGGGAAUAUUGGACAAUGGGUGCAAGCCUGAUCCAGCCAUGCCGCGUGCAGGAAGAAAGCCUUCUGGGUUGUAAACUGCUUUUUUAGGGGAUAAAAUACCGGUGCGCCGGGAAUUGCAAGUACCUGGAGAAUAAGCCACGGCUAACUACGUGCCAGCAGCCGCCGUAACAC
rnacentral:rRNA from 1 species